UCUUUCUCGAUACAAACUUUAAUACACAGUAAUUCCACAGCCAGUACGUUUCUCGUCGCUUUAAACUCAACAACUUUAAUAAUACACGCUAUAAAGCACAGCGAUUUACAAUCUUGAUAAUAUCGCUCUCCCCGAGUACAAGACAC